rnacentral:rRNA from 1 species
CCUACGGGAGGCAGCAGUGAGGAAUAUUGGUCAAUGGCCGGAAGGCUGAACCAGCCAUGCCGCGUGAAGGUCAGUGCCCUAUGGGCGUUAAACUUCUUUUGUGCGGGAGCAAUAAUGGUCACGUGUGGCCAGACGAGAGUACCGUACGAAUAAGCAUCGGCUAACUCCGUGCCAGCAGCCGCGGUAAUACGGGGGAUGCAAGCGUUAUCCGGAUUUAUUGGGUUUAAAGGGUGCGUAGGCUGUGAGGUAAGUCAGCGGGGAAAUGCCCCCGCUCAAUGGGGUGAAGUGCCAUUGAUACUGCCUUGCUGGAAUGCGGAUGCCGUGGGAGGAAUGUGUGGUGUAGCGGUGAAAUGCAUAGAUAUCACACAGAACACCGAUUGCGAAGGCAUCUCACGAAUCCGCGAUUGACGCUGAUGCACGAAAGCGUGGGUAUCAAACAGGAUUAGAUACCCCAGUAGUC